rnacentral:rRNA from 1 species
AGAGUUUGAUCAUGGCUCAGAACGAACGCUGGCGGCAUGCCUAACACAUGCAAGUCGAACGCUCAUCCGGGCUUCGGUUCGGGUGGGAGUGGCGCACGGGUGAGUAGCGCGUGGGAACCUGCCCUGUUGUGGGGGAUAACCGAGGGAAACUUCGGCUAAUACCGCAUGCGCCCCCGAGAGAGAUCUCGGGGGGAAAGAUUUAUCGCAGCAGGAGGGGCCCGCGUCGGAUUAGGUAGUUGGUGGGGUAACGGCCUACCAAGCCGAUGAUCCGUAGCUGGUCUGAGAGGAUGAUCAGCCACACUGGGACUGAGACACGGCCCAGACUCCUACGGGAGGCAGCAGUGGGGAAUAUUGGACAAUGGGCGCAAGCCUGAUCCAGCAAUGCCGCGUGAGUGAUGAAGGCCUUAGGGUUGUAAAGCUCUUUCGCCCGCGACGAUGAUGACGGUAGCGGGAGAAGAAGCCCCGGCUAACUUCGUGCCAGCAGCCGCGGUAAUACGAAGGGGGCGAGCGUUGUUCGGAUUUACUGGGCGUAAAGGGCGCGUAGGCGGCGCAGGAAGUCAGGCGUGAAAGCCCCGGGCUCAACCUGGGAGGUGCGCUUGGGACUCUUGUGCUGGAGUUCGGGAGAGGAGAGCGGAAUUCCCAGUGUAGAGGUGAAAUUCGUAGAUAUUGGGAAGAACACCGGUGGCGAAGGCGGCUCUCUGGACCGAGACUGACGCUGAGGCGCGAAAGCGUGGGGAGCAAACAGGAUUAGAUACCCUGGUAGUCCACGCCGUAAACGAUGUGUGCUAGACGUUGGGGAGCCUAGCUCUUCGGUGUCGCCGCAAACGCAUUAAGCACACCGCCUGGGGAGUACGGCCGCAAGGUUAAAACUCAAGGAAUUGACGGGGCCUGCACAGCGGUGGAGCAUGUGGUUUAAUUCGACGCACGCGAGACCUUACCAGCUCUUGACAUGCCUCGUAUGAUGCAGA